rnacentral:rRNA from 1 species
CCUACGGGAGGCAGCAGUGAGGAAUAUUGGUCAAUGGACGAGAGUCUGAACCAGCCAAGUAGCGUGAAGGAUGACUGCCCUAUGGGUGGUAAACUUCUUUUAUAUGGGAAUAAAAUGUUCCACGUGUGGGAUUUUGUAUGUACCAUAUGAAUAAGGAUCGGCUAACUCCGUGCCCGCAGCCGCGGUAAUACGGAGGAUCCGAGCGUUAUCCGGCUUUAUUGGGUUUAAAGGGAGCGUAGGUGGUUUGGUAAGUCAGUUGUGAAAGUUUUCGGCUCAACCGUAAAAUUGCAGUUGAAACUGGCAGUCUUGAGUACAGUAGAGGUGGGCGGAAUUCGUGGUGUAGCGGUGAAAUGCUUAGAUAUCACGAAGAACUCCGAUUGCGAAGGCAGCUCACUGGACUGCAACUGACACUGAGGCUCGAAAGUGUGGGUAUCAAACAGGAUUAGAUACCCCUGUAGUC